CCAGGCGAGUAACCCCUGGCCCUGCCCGCUCCUCCUUAUUCUUUGUCCAUGGCCCUACCCAUUUCUCUCGCUGGUCCAGUGGCCACAGGUGCUUCACUGUUGUAGUGCAUGCUGGCCUCGAACUCCUGAUGAUCCUCUGGCACAGCUUCCAGAAUCCUGGGAUUACAGUGGGCAAGAACAAUGCUCAAAGCUUGCAGCUCUUGAAUUACUGAUGAGGUUGACUGCUCUUCACUUGCAGAUGUCGUCCUGAGAGGCGUCUCCCGGGCCAGCACUCCAGAAAGCCCUGGCAGGAACCCGGGCCGUGCCCACGCCUGCACCACAGGGGUCGGAGGGCCAGGGUACCUGCUCUGCCCUCCAGCGGGAGGAGCUGUGAGGGCAAGCUCACACACCUGCGGGGAGGGGCGCAUGCGCACUGCAGU